GUCCACGCCAUAAACGAUGACAACUAGACGUUGGGGACAUAUGGUCCACAGUGUCGCAGCUAACGCGUUAAGUUGUCCGCCUGGGGAGUACGGCCGCAAGGUUGAAACUCAAAGGAAUUGACGGGGACCCCGCACAAGCGGUGGAGCAUGUGGUUUAAUUCGAUGCAACGCGAAGAACCUUACCUGGUCUUGACAUCCACGGAAUCCCGAAGAGAUUUGGGAGUGCCGCAAGGAACCGUGAGACAGGUGCUGCAUGGCUGUCGU
rnacentral:rRNA from 1 species